rnacentral:rRNA from 1 species
UACGUAGGGUCCGAGCGUUGUCCGGAAUUACUGGGCGUAAAGAGCUCGUAGGUGGUUUGUCACGUUGUUCGUGAAAACCCACAGCUCAACUGUGGGCGUGCGAGCGAUACGGGCAGACUAGAGUACUGCAGGGGAGACCGGAAUUCCUGGUGUAGCGGUGGAAUGCGCAGAUAUCAGGAGGAACACCGGUGGCGAAGGCGGGUCUCUGGGCAGUAACUGACGCUGAGGAGCGAAAGCGUGGGGAGCGAACAGG